rnacentral:misc_RNA from 1 species
GAAAUGCGAUAAGUAAUGUGAAUUGCAGAAUUCAGUGAAUCAUCGAAUCUUUGAACGCACAUUGCGCCCCUUGGUAUUCCGAGGGGCAUGCCUGUUCGAGCGUCAUUACACCACUCAAGCUAUGCUUGGUAUUGGGUGUCGUCCUUAGUUGGGCGCGCCUUAAAGACCUCGGCGAGGCCUCACCGGCUUUAGGCGUAGUAGAAUUUAUUCGAACGUCUGUCAAAGGAGAGGACUUCUGCCGACUGAAACCUUUUAUUUUUCUAGGUUGACCUCGGAUCAGGUAGGGAUACCCGCUGAACUUAAGC